CCCACUAUACUUGGAAAUACCCUUAACCUUCUAACUUAAUACCUAUUAGUUAACAAAAACUUUCACUUUACCCCCCCCCCCCCCAACCGAAAAUCUGCCAUAAUCAUUUAAAAUAUUUUGUGAAGAUUAUGUGUAAAGGGAAUCUUGAUUUCUAUUGGCCAAGAUCUAGGUAAUUAUGAUCCUAGGCUAGAUUGGCACAUGGCUCCAAGGAUUCUUAUCAUUACAUUAAGAUCACCCUUCACCCCUUCUCUCUCUCUCAUUUUCGGCUCACCCUAGCUGAAUUUACCAUCACCACCACUUAAACAUCACUAACUCAUUCAUACUCAAGCUCCAUUCAAGCCUUGAAGGUGAUCCAUGAAGGUUGCAAGUUAAGAAGCAUUCAAGGAAGCUUUGUUCUAAUCUUGUCAUCAUCUUUUCUCACCAUCAUCUUCACUAUGAUUCUUCCCUAGCUUGAAGCUAGUAGUAAGUCUCUACACCUCGUCCCAUCUUAUUCUUGGUUAUGUCAUUCGUGUUUGCUGAGGAGAUUUGGGUUACAAGUACCGAAGACGCAAUACAGUGA
rnacentral:lncRNA from 1 species